rnacentral:tRNA from 1 species
AGGUUGGUAGUUUUAGAGAAUAGUAAUUUGCAAAGUUACAGGAGUCAAUUGACCUAACCUU